rnacentral:rRNA from 1 species
UACGUAGGGUGCGAGCGUUAAUCGGAAUUACUGGGCGUAAAGCGUGCGCAGGCGGUUUGUUAAGACAGGUGUGAAAUCCCCGGGCUUAACCUGGGAAUGGCGCUUGUGACUGGCAGGCUAGAGUGUGUCAGAGGGAGGUAGAAUUCCACGUGUAGCAGUGAAAUGCGUAGAGAUGUGGAGGAAUACCGAUGGCGAAGGCAGCCUCCUGGGAUAACACUGACGCUCAUGCACGAAAGCGUGGGGAG